GGGCAGGUAGCAAGAGCGGCUGCGGUAAGGAGGGAAGAGCUCUGACCCUGGGAGCUCUCAUGUAGGCAGGGCUCCGGGGCCAUCAGCAUCUGCAGGAGGAGGCUUGCACGGCGCGGUCUUGUCCACACUAGGGUUUAACCUCACCCCCGCAAUGGAGCGGAGUCCGUGAAAGGCCGGGGGCUACAGGGCCGUUCCCCAAAGCAUAAGCAAGGAGGUUUUGUUUUCUGCCCCAUCCUCGCCCGGCGGUACCGGAUAGGGAUUGCCAUUCCCCUCCAGGAAGAGGUACGUGGCUGGAAGCAGGGGAUGUUGCUGGCGAGAGAGCGGAGCCGGCUCUGCGCGGCGAGGAGGAAGCUUGCCACCUCUGCUUUAUUCCAUUUCCCUUCCCCCCGCCCGGUGCUGAGCCGAGAUAACAGCUUGCAGCGCCGAAGCCAGCGCCGAGGGGAGGCAACGACGGGCCCAGGCGGUAUUAUCGCUCCCGCACCGGCCGUGAGGGAAUCAGGAAGUUUGCAGAGAUACUCAGCCAAGAACACAAACACGGCUCCUGCCAGCGGCACCUUACCGGCAUCUUCCUCGCCCUUCCAGCCAGCAGCCGCCCAGCCGUGCCUGCUCGUAACGGAGCCCCCGGGCCCUCUUAUCGUGUGUGCACGGUGCCGCGGGGCGUUGGGGUGGGCAGGCGGGCAACGGCAGAGGGGCCUGGGCUGCAUCCCCCCUCCCUGGCUUUCAGCCAAGUUCACAGCCUCUGGUCCUGCUACCGCUGUCCAAAGCUCCUAUCUUGAGGCCCUGAGUGCUCGGUCCUCUUUAAUGCAAUUGCCCCAUUUUACAGGUGGGACAACCGAGGCACAGGCGGCCUCAGGCACCAGACUGCAGUCAUCCUGGAAGCGUGUGGAAGAGACAAACCCGAGUCCCUGGUUUCCCAGGCUAGAGCGCUGACCACGGCUCUUCCCUUCCUCUUCAGUGAAAUGGGAACUGCUCUCUCUCUGCUUUCACAUCCCCCCUCGCACCCCACGGCUGCCGCAAGGCCGGCAGGAGCACACGCCAGCUUCAGUUCUGCGCAGGGGAGCCCCCGUGGAAACCCCAGCUGAGAAACACCCACAGACGGGCACGCGUCGGGUCGGGGGGCAGGCGGGCAGUUCGCACAGUCAACCCCAUCGAAGAACGGGAGCAGGAACACGGGCCGGAAAGACGCCGAGUCCAGUGCCCUGGGUCUGCCCACGGUCCCGAAGCACAAAGCAAGCCCUGGAGCUAGGAGCCCUGACAGGGCAUCACUCACCCCAGGGGGGCAGGAAGCAGGCCAGCAGGGCAAUGGGCUCCCAGCUGGCGGGGAUUAACUCCUCCCUGAGCGGGGCUGGGGGCCUCUGAAGCACCCCCGGGACUCUCUAAAGAGCUGCCUCCCUGUGCUGAGGCUCCUGGUGGAGUCUGUGGGCUGAGUGCCGGCUGUGCAGAGCGUGCAACCCGGAGCGCGGGGGAGGAUGCCCUGCCACACAUGAGGCUGCUGAUGCCUGUUGGUCAGCUGUGCAGCCUCUACUGCUUGCAGACCAUUGCUGUGAGCCGCUGAACCCCAGCAACAGCUGCAUUUUGGUCUGCGUCUGCCCAGGGGAAUCCAUUUGCACUGAACGAGGACGUGGCCUGCAGGCAUCCAGCUCGGAGAGGGCUCCCACCUGCUCGCCUGCUGUAGGCAAGCCCGGGAGAGAUGUGCAAGCUAGUUACAGCUCAUGCAAGGGAGAGGAGAGGUGAUCCCUGCCCUGCCUGCCUCUUAUCUCCCCCAGCCUGGCAGCAGACGGGGCAUUUGGGGCUGCUUCUGCUUGCCCCCAGGAGUAGAAGGAUGCAGCGGUUGCAGGGGAAUAUGUACGACACGAUGGAGACAGCAUCAAGGGAGAGGUCCCUGAACCUGGCUUUCGGAGGUGCAGGAAAGGAGCAGUGAGCACAAGCCCAUUGCACCCUGGUGCUGCCCGGGGACGUGCGGGGCCUGGCAGAGGAAGUCGAACUCGAGCUAUCAAUGGUCCUGCCUUGAUGGGAAUAAAAUAUGCACUGAAAGACAUGAAAAUGGAGUAAAUAAAAGAGAUAAAAAUGGAACGAUCAAGCCAGCAACUUCUCCUCCUCUGAUUAAAAAGAGAGAGAAGGGGGAAAGCGGGCGGGGGGGCGCCCGAGCCCUUGAAGAGGCAGCUGCUGCAGAAGCCGAAGCCUGAUAAAGGGUCUGAGGCAGCCUGUUUGGAAGAGAUAAAGUAGAGCCCCAGCAUUUACCAUCCUCAGUCCAAGUCUUACCAUCAAUAUUAAUACAGCCUGACAAACUGGCAUUUAAGAUAGAAUAAAUAUA